rnacentral:rRNA from 1 species
AACUUUCAACAAUGGAUCUCUUGGCUCUGGCAUCGAUGAAGAACGCAGCGAAAUGCGAUAAGUAGUGUGAAUUGCAGAAUUCAGUGAAUCAUCGAAUCUUUGAACGCACAUUGCGCCCCUUGGUAUUCCAUGGGGCAUGCCUGUUCGAGCGUCAUCUACACCCUCAAGCUCUGCUUGGUGUUGGGCGUCUGUCCCGCCUCUGCGCGCGGACUCGCCCCAAAUUCAUUGGCAGCGGUCCUUGCCUCCUCUCGCGCAGCACAUUGCGCUUCUCGAGGUGCGCGGCCCGCGUCCACGAAGCAACAUUACCGUCUUUGACCUCGGAUCAGGUAGG